UGUUCGCGCAAACUGCGAGGUAAUAUCAGUUAUAGUAAAGUUAUGUGAUUUUUUAGGUAUAUAAAGGCAAGAGGAAUAUUAUAGAAGCAGAAGUGAGAGGAAUUAAAUGAUAUUUCAGAUUUCAAGCAAAUAUCAAAAUACACGCGUGACGGAUAAUAGCCCCAUCGUUUUACGAGGAUCAAGUGCAGCGAACCAGAGAACAGCUUCCUCGUGUGAUGAAGACAUUCAAGCUCGAGCGCGUUCGUGAUCGCCCCGUAAAUUUCCCGAGAACGGCAGAUACGAUCGCGUCCGCGAAUAAUUUCUGGAUCGGUCAUGAAUCCUCGGAAUUCGGUCUACUGCGAUGAAACCUACGGAGAUGAAUCGUGCCAAGAGGAUAAGAAGAAAAGAGGUCACGUUUAAGCACGAAAACCUGACGUUUGAAGAAUGACACGCAGUUUAUCACUUCUUUCUUCCUGUUUUCUACGCUACGCCUUCUGUUCUGUUAGCGAUUUAGAUUAAUAGAUUAACGUGAUAAAUAACUUCGCUAAAUUAAGCUUUAAGAAAAUACAAACGGAAA